CGUGUAGGCGGUUUGUUAAGUCUGAUGUGAAAGCCCCGGGCUCAACCUGGGAAGUGCAUUGGAAACUGGCAGACUUGAAUACGGGAGAGGGCAGUGGAAUUCCUGGUGUAGGAGUGAAAUCCGUAGAUAUCAGGAGGAACACCGGUGGCGAAGGCGGCUGCCUGGACCGAUAUUGACGCUGAGACGCGAAAGCGUGGGUAGCAAACAGGAUUAGAUACCCUGGUAGUCCACGCCGUAAACGAUGAGUACUAGGUGUUGCGGGUAUUGACCCCUGCAGUGCCGCAGCUAACGCAUUAAGUACUCCGCCUGGGAAGUACGGUCGCAAGACUAAA
rnacentral:rRNA from 1 species